rnacentral:lncRNA from 1 species
GGUAUAUAAAAUCUAAGAGCCCAAUGACUAGUUGGAAGUAGUGCAAAGUGAGUUCUUUUUAUUAAGUUCCUUUUAGUGAGCUGUAAGCUAAUUAGUGCUUUGAAUUUCACAACACAUCUGGCCUGCAUUUUCUAAGAAAUAGGUUCGACAUUGUGUUGAAAAUAUGGUAGCAACCUCGAAUCCUGAUGAACCAUCUUUUUCUGAUCAAAAAAAAAAAACUACUUGGUGGAUUUAGUCAGGUACAUCGAAAAGGGCUACCUAUUGUCAAAGAUCAGUGGGCUUGUGAUGAGGAACCCGAGCAUAGGU